CGGACGGGUGAGUAACACGUGAGCAACCUGCCUUCGAGAGGGGGAAUAACGGCUGGAAACGGUCGCUAAUACCGCAUAACAUACCGGGGAGGACAUCCUGCUGGUAUCAAAGAUUUUUAUCGCUCGAAGAUGGGCUCGCGUCCGAUUAGGUAGUUGGUGAGGUAACGGCUCACCAAGCCGACGAUCGGUAGCCGGACUGAGAGGUUGAACGGCCACAUUGGGACUGAGACACGGCCCAGACUCCUACGGAAGGCAGCAG
rnacentral:rRNA from 1 species